UUGAAGUCAGGCCACUUGUGCCACGGCUUGAGCAAACCG
rnacentral:lncRNA from 1 species